rnacentral:rRNA from 1 species
GCAAGUCGAACGGUAACAGGCCCAGCUUGCUGGGUGCUGACGAGUGGCGGACGGGUGAGUAACGCGUAGGAAUCUAUCUUGUAGUGGGGGAUAACUUGGGGAAACUCAAGCUAAUACCGCAUAAGCCUUAAGAGGGAAAGCGGGGGAUCUUCGGACCUCGUGCUAUAAGCUGAGCCUGCGUCAGAUUAGCUUGUUGGUGGGGUAAUGGCCUACCAAGGCGACGAUCUGUAGCUGUUCUGAGAGGGUGAUC